UGGGGAGUAUUGCACAAUGGGCGCAAGCCUGAUGCAGCCAUGCCGCGUGUAUGAAGAAGGCCUUCGGGUUGUAAAGUACUUUCAGCGGGGAGGAAGGGAGUAAAGUUAAUACCUUUGCUCAUUGACGUUACCCGCAGAAGAAGCACCGGCUAACUCCGUGCCAGCAGCCGCGGUAAUACGGAGGGUGCAAGCGUUAAUCGGAAUUACUGGGCGUAAAGCGCACGCAGGCGGUUUGUUAAGUCAGAUGUGAAAUCCCCGGGCUCAACCUGGGAACUGCAGCUGAUACUGGCAAGCUUGAGUCUCGUAGAGGGGGGUAGAAUUCCAGGUGUAGCGGUGAAAUGCGUAGAGAUCUGGAGGAAUACCGGUGGCGAAGGCGGCCCCCUGGACGAAGACUGACGCUCAGGUGCGAAAGCGUGGGGAGCAAACAGG
rnacentral:rRNA from 1 species